rnacentral:misc_RNA from 1 species
GUGAAUCAUCGAAUUUUUGAACGCAAAUUGCACUCUCUUCUGAGAGUAUGCGUGUUUGAGGGUCAGUAUUAAUAAUAAUCGGUGUGUUGCUUCUUUGUGACGCGUCGGAGUUUGGGUCAUCUUUAUAUCCGUUAGGUAUUAAGAGGCUUAAAAUUUACUUUUUUUACGCAUUUUAAAUUUACGUAAAUUCUUUUUUUUAUUCGGACGUCUUAAUGCUCAUAAUCCUAUUAUAUGCGUC